CCACGGUUCCCCACGGAGCUGCAGCACCCGGGCUUGUGCCGAGGCGGGAUGAGCCGCCGCCCCGCUGCUACACUACUUGCGCACCUGAACCCAUCACCAUGCUGUACCUUCAGAAAGAGAAUGAAACUGGAGCUAAUCACAGGAGGGGAGCAGCAUCUGUGACCCUUUAUUGGGCUGCAUGUGUAGAGCUUCUGCACAAGACUAGAAAUGGAACCAGAAAGGAUAAGAUAGAUCUCUCUGGAUAGUUGGACAAAGAGGCUCCAUGGUCCCAGCUCAGUUCCCAGUGCCUGCAGAUGGAUUUGCUCCUGGGAACCCCUGCCACAGCCGGCAAGAACCCCAACCAGGCACCACCAGCCCUUAGGACACUGUCACAGGCCUUUGAUGGUGGCUCAAGAAGCUGAUGCAUUAUAACAGUCUCACCUCUGCUUCUGGGGGAAAAUAAUCUCCACUGCAAGAAAAAGCAAAUUGUGAGAAGGAAGAGACACUCCCAGGUCAAGGGAGAAGGGCACUCUUGCUGCAGCUGCUGGAGAAGAGGGUAACAGAACACGAUGCCGCAAGCCCUCCUCAUUACAGAGAUGCCCCCUGUAACUCUAUGGGCAGAUUCAUACCUUGCAGCCUGCAUGCUGCUGUUACAGACUCUGCUCCAGCUCAAGACAGGG